rnacentral:misc_RNA from 1 species
GGGGGCGGGCGCUGGGAUCCUCCUUACCUAAAGAUACGCAUUAUGCAGUGUCCACACAGAUUGUCUGAUGAAAAUAAUCAACAAGAAAUCCUGUUGAUGCCUUGAGGGUCACGUGGCUCGGAUGCACAAAGGGUCAGGGCGAGAACGUGGACUGGUGCCGAAUUUUCCCUACCCCAUCGUUUAUAGUUCUAGGACACUGCCCUUUCACGGCUGUAACAGGGAUUAGAAACCCCUUGGUCUGGCCAUUACUAUAUUGAGUGAUAGAUAUUAUGACCGGUUCUGAGCAACCAAAAUACCUUAAAGAUGACUCUCACGAUUCUUGUUUCCCAAAUGGCUCUUUAACAAUCUGGAUUAAUUCAAAAAUCGAACCUAUUUUUUGAAACUUUUUAUUCCGUUCAUUCCCAGUCUUACGGAGUACCCUGAUCUAAACCUCUCAUCAGUCACAAACCUAUCUGAAACUCUUUCGGGACCAGAGGUAUACUGUGUCAUUCUUCCCUGUGCAUGCCUUCCAAAUUCCUUC